AAAGACCCGGUCGUCACACGAAUUCAGCUGGCCGACGGAGUCGUGAACCUGCUGGACGGCGUGGGCAGCCCCGUGACCCUGGGCGCCAACCGGAAAGUAGAAAUCGUUGGCAGCGUACGAGUUCUGCAGCAAUUGGACAGCGGCACAGCCUGGCUGCGGCCGGAUGCGCUGCAAUACGCGAGCGGCAUUGACUUUGGACAGGGUGGCAGCGCCGGAAUGAUUCGCCUGGCGGACAACAGCAGCCUUGCUUUCGUUGACCUGCUACUUUGGCACAGUCUUACCUCCAUUAUUGGCUAUGAUGUGUCGGUGAUAGCGCUGGCGACGCCAGGGGCAAGGUGAGCUGGCGAGUGGCGGAUACCAUGGCCGAAUGCGAGGUGCGGCAGGCUUAUCGCCAG
rnacentral:lncRNA from 1 species